rnacentral:snRNA from 1 species
AUUUUAAAUGUAACAUUAAUUUUU